rnacentral:misc_RNA from 1 species
AACGCACGAGACCUGCGGACCUGCGGAGGGAUCAUUACAAGUGACCCCGGUCUAACCACCGGGAUGUUCAUAACCCUUUGUUGUCCGACUCUGUUGCCUCCGGGGCGACCCUGCCUUCGGGCGGGGGCUCCGGGUGGACACUUCAAACUCUUGCGUAACUUUGCAGUCUGAGUAAAUUUAAUUAAUAAAUUAAAACUUUUAGCAAUGGAUCUCU